rnacentral:rRNA from 1 species
UCUGGUUGAUCCCGCCAGAGGUCACUGCUAUCGGGGUUCGAUUAAGCCAUGCGAGUCGAGAGGGUUCAGACCCUCGGCGGACUGCUCAGUAACACGUGGAUAAUCUGCCCUAUGGUGGAGGAUAACCCCGGGAAACUGGGGAUAAUACUCCAUAAGUCAGGAGUACUGGAAUGUCUCCUAACUGAAAGUUGCGGCGCCAUAGGAUGAAUCUGCGGCCAAUUAGGUAGUUGUUGGGGUAACGGCCCAACAAGCCUGUAAUCGGUACGGGUUGUGGGAGCAAGAGCCCGGAGAUGGAAUCUGAGACACGAUUCCAGGCCCUACGGGGCGCAGCAGGCGCGAAAACUUUACAAUGCAGGAAACUGUGAUAAGGGAACCCCGAGUGCCCGUAAACGCGGGCUGUCCCGGUGUUUAAAACACAUCGGAAGAAAGGGCCGGGCAAGACCGGUGCUAGCCGCCGCGGUAAUACCGGCGGCUCGAGUGGUGACCACUUUUAUUGGGCUUAAAGCGUUCGUAGCUUGAUUUUUAAGUCUCUUGGGAAAUCUCACGGCUUAACUGUGAGGCGUCUAAGAGAUACUGGGAAUCUAGGGACCGGGAGAGGUAAGAGGUACUUCAGGGGUAGAAGUGAAAUUCUGUAAUCCUUGAGGGACCACCGAUGGCGAAGGCAUCUUACCAGAACGGCUUCGACAGUGAGGAACGAAAGCUGGGGGAGCGAACGGGAUUAGAUACCCCGGUAGUCCCAGCCGUAAACUAUGCGCGUUAGGUGUGCCUGUAACUACGAGUUACCGGGGUGCCGAAGUGAAAACGUGAAACGUGCCGCCUGGGAAGUACGGUCGCAAGGCUGAAACUUAAAGGAAUUGGCGGGGGAGCACCACAACGGGUGGAGCCUGCGGUUUAAUUGGACUCAACGCCGGGCAGCUCACCGGAUAGGACAGCGGAAUGAUAGCCGGGCUGAAGACCUUGCUUGACCAGCUGAGAGGAGGUGCAUGGCCGUCGUCAGUUCGUACUGUGAAGCAUCCUGUUUAGUCAGGCAACGAGCGAGACCCA